rnacentral:sRNA from 1 species
AGGUCCCGCAAAAUCAUAUCAGAGGGGACUGCGGCGUUUACGCGUUAAAGAUUCUUGAAUGUUUAUUGCUUA